AUCUAGAUGACGACUCUCAAAUAGGACGAAACGCGCAUCCUAGAU
rnacentral:hammerhead_ribozyme from 1 species